rnacentral:misc_RNA from 1 species
GAAAUGCGAUAACUAGUGUGAAUUGCAGAAUUCCGUGAAUCAUCGAGUCUUUGAACGCACAUUGCGCCCCCUGGUAUUCCGGGGGGCAUGCCUGUCCGAGCGUCAUUGCUGCCCAUCAAGCACGGCUUGUGGGUUGGGUCGUCGUCCCCUCUCCGGGGGGGACGGGCCCCAAAGGCAGCGGCGGCACCGCGUCCGAUCCUCGAGCGUAUGGGGCUUUGUCACCCGCUCUGUAGGCCCGGCCGGCGCUUGCCGAACGCAAAUCAAUCUUUUUCCAGGUUGACCUCGGAUCAGGUAGGGAUACCCGCUGAACUUAAGC